rnacentral:rRNA from 1 species
UAACUUGGGUGCUGCAUUCCAAACUGGUUAUCUAGCGUGCAGGAGAGGAGAGUGGAAUUCCUAGUGUAGCGGUGAAAUGCGUAGAGAUUAGGAAGAACACCAGUGGCGAAGGCGACUCUCUGGACUGUAACUGACGCUGAGGCUCGAAAGCGUGGGGAGCAAACAGGAUUAGAUACCCUGGUAGUCCACGCCGUAAACGAUGGAUACUAGGUGUGGGGGUUUCAACACCUCCGUGCCGCCGCUAACGCAUUAAGUAUUCCGCCUGGGGAGUACGGUCGCAAGAUUAAAACUCAAAGGAAUUGACGGGGACCCGCACAAGUAGCGGAGCAUGUGGUUUAAUUCGAAGCAACGCGAAGAACCUUACCUACACUUGACAUCCCUUGCAUUACUCUUAAUCGAGGAAAUCCCUUCGGGGACAAGGUGACAGGUGGUGCAUGGUUGUCGUCAGCUCGUGUCGUGAGAUGUUGGGUUAAGUCCCGCAACGAGCGCAACCCUUGUCGUUAGUUACUACCAUUAAGUUGAGGACUCUAGCGAGACUGCCUGGGUUAACCAGGAGGAAGGUGGGGAUGACGUCAAAUCAUCAUGCCCCUUAUGUGUAGGGCUACACACGUGCUACAAUGGCUGGUACAGAGAGAUGCAAUACCGCGAGGUUGAGCCAAACUUAAAAACCAGUCUCAGUUCGGAUUGUAGGCUGAAACUCGCCUACAUGAAGCUGGAGUUACUAGUAAUCGCGAAUCAGAAUGUCGCGGUGAAUACGUUCCCGGGUCUUGUACACACCGCCCGUCACACCAUGAGAGUUGGCAAUACCCGAAGUCCGUGAGCUAACCGCAAGGAGGCAGCGGCCGAAGGUAGGGUCAGCGAUUGGUGUGAAAGGGUAACAAG